rnacentral:rRNA from 1 species
AUUGAACGCUGGCGGCAGGCCUAACACAUGCAAGUCGAGCGGAUGAAGGGAGCUUGCUCCUGGAUUCAGCGGCGGACGGGUGAGUAAUGCCUAGGAAUCUGCCUGGUAGUGGGGGAUAACGUCCGGAAACGGGCGCUAAUACCGCAUACGUCCUGAGGGAGAGAGUGGGGGAUCUUCGGACCUCACGCUAUCAGAUGAGCCUAGGUCGGAUCAGCUAGUUGGUGGGGUAAAGGCCUACCAAGGCGACGAUCCGUAACUGGUCUGAGAGGAUGAUCAGUCACACUGGAACUGAGACACGGUCCAGACUCCUACGGGAGGCAGCAGUGGGGAAUAUUGGACAAUGGGCGAAAGCCUGAUCCAGCCAUGCCGCGUGUGUGAAGAAGGUCUUCGGAUUGUAAAGCACUUUAAGUUGGGAGGAAGGGCAGUAAGUUAAUACCUUGCUGUUUUGACGUUACCAACAGAAUAAGCACCGGCUAACUUCGUG